CCAGAGAACUUAGCAGAGAUGCUUUGGUGCCUUCGGGAACUCUGAGACAGGUGCUGCAUGGCUAUCGUCAGCUCGUGUUGUGAAAUGUUGGGUUAAGUCCCGCAACGAGCGCAACCCUUAUCCUUUGUUGCCAGCGAUUCGGUCGGGAACUCAAAGGAGACUGCCGGUGAUAAACCGGAGGAAGGUGGGGAUGACGUCAAGUCAUCAUGGCCCUUACGGCCAGGGCUACACACGUGCUACAAUGGCGCAUACAAAGAGAAGCGACCUCGCGAGAGCAAGCGGACCUCAUAAAGUGCGUCGUAGUCCGGAUUGGAGUCUGCAACUCGACUCCAUGAAGUCGGAAUCGCUAGUAAUCGUAGAUCAGAAUGCUACGGUGAAUACGUUCCUGGGCCUUGUACACACCGCCCGUCACACCAUGGGAGUGGGUUGCAAAAGAAGUAGGUAGCUUAACCUUCGGGAGGGCGCUUACCACUUUGUGAUUCAUGACUGGGGUGAAGUCGUAACAAGGUAAGCGUACGUGU
rnacentral:rRNA from 1 species